ACUAACGAUCUCUCCCUGCGCCUGGGAACUCGAUCUGGAUCACGGCGGCGGCGGCGGCGGCGACGACUCCUCUCUCUCUCUCCGCGCACCGACGCAUCCCCCGGAGCCCUGCCCACCUCCUCCCUUUUCAGCGCGCACAUCGCGACCCCUGUGGCUACUCCACUCUUGAGGCGUCGUGGAGGUUACGGAAACCCGAUGGCGUUGGCUUGCCGGAGAUGAAGAAGACAGCCAGGUGAUGCGGUACUCGGGAGGUGGAAUUGGCAACGGAGGUGGCUCCAUAUGGAUGCCGCGGACCUCCCACUGGAUGGAAUCGAAGUGGGACGAUGUGCUUCGGUCGUCAACGACGGCUGCGCGGGAUGCAGUAUGGUAUGGAUCGGGCAUCUCGAGGAUGGGCUCUCUUCGCAAGGCCUCCUCCACGCCACAGCGGAGGUGUUUGAGGAGUCUGUCCCGGGGCUGCUCGUGAAGCAUGUCGACGUCUCCGUCUUGCCAUUGCUCAAAACACCGCCCUGCCGGCCGGGGUCCUUAUUUGCCAUCGAGGCCUUCCGCAACAGGGUCCAUGAUGCCUGAUUGCUUCCUCUUCGGCUGGAUCGGGUCCAACCACACAAUUAUUGUACUACUGUCUUGAGUGGCAAAUAUUUACUGAGAUGGGAUAAUAGGUAUACUAUUUUUCGAUUUCAAGACUGAAAUAUGAUUUCUUCCUGCUCUAUGUCAAUUUAAUUUUUUCCUGAAUAAUUUACCAACACAGUGCAGGUUGAUGUGUGUAGCACGUGUUAACAAAAUCUCAAUUAUCUGCAUGGUAUAUAUAUCUCUAAUAAUUGUCUUUUCCAGAAUGAAGAGAAGGUAUGAGAAAGAUAAUACUAAUAUUCCCGAUACAUUUGACAUUUAACUUUUACCAGAUUCUUGGAUUCCUCAAAAUCAUGUCUGUUAGCGUUUCUUCUAUAUAUAUAUGCAUGAUCUUUCCUUUUGAAAUUCUCAUCAUGUACAUGAUUUUUGCUACUGCUGGCCUUGAAUUGGCACUGAUUUGGGCCACCUUGUUGAAUGAUUCGUGCACUGAUGUGUUUCGUUGGUCUUUUGCGGCAUGUGGGGAGCGUAAACUGGAAGAACGUGUGCAGCAGGCAUCGCUGCUGCGCUGGACGACGUUGUGCGAGGCCAUGGCCAUGGACGAUGUGCUGUUGGAGAACGACGCAUGACUAAGGUAGUCGAUGUGAACGACCACUGGAAUUCCAAUUGCUUAUGGAUUUGUAUGAUGCAGCCUACAUGUUCCCAUCAUCCAGUAAAAUAUAGACAUCAAUUAUUGCAUCUGGGUUUAUAUUAUGCAUCCCCGCUGCCAGUUUCAUUGUUAAGUAGGAACGCAGAUUACAUUUAUAAAUGAUAUAUGUAUGUAAUUGUGUGCUGCAUUCUUGCUGCUUCCAGUAGAUGUACUAUCUUUUCAGCGUUGACUUUUAAAGCGUUUUUGCUGACAAGAAGCUUAUCAGUCGUAAUGUUCAGCACCUACAUUACCUGAUGGUCAUGUAGUGCUAGGGAAAUAGAUAUUAAUGUGGGAAAUAGAUAUACAAUAUGUUAUAAAGGAUAAGACAAAUAAUUAUUGGGUGUGAAAGAUCAGGAUGGAAGCAUUUUUUUUGCUAUCAUAUGAAUUAUUGAAUACAAUCUCGUAUGCAACCCCUCAAAAUUAGAUUUAAUUCAUGCUCGUACACCAUCACUUAAGUAGGAAAAGAGAAGUAUUUCUAAGGCUACUCUAUAUCUUAUUUUUCUUUCACAACAUAUAUAUUAUUAGUUAUAUGUUUGCUUGGGUAGGAAAGUAACAAUCAAUCCCUCAAAAUAAAAGGAAACUAAUGAUCAAGACCUUAGCUGGCUGACGGUAACUCCAUUCAUUCUCUUCCAAUUAUUAUUAUUUUAGUUAUUUUUCUAUUCUCAUGGGUAGGAAUUCUUCUGUGUUGUUUUGCUUUAGUUUCGUAGUUGUCACUCCCAUGUAUCUCUUCGACGAGGAGACGUGGACACGAGGCCUAACUAUCCGGUAUAAAUUGGUUUUCCCACUGUCGCUGUGAGAUUGGAUUGUUGUUCCCUUUUCUGCACAUGAUUGUUCCACUUGUGAUUUAUCAUAUAUGAAUUGCUACUUGACAUCCUUUUGAUCCAGCAUGAUUUCUUGCUUCUUCUCAUCUUGUUGACUACUGGUUGUGUUUGUUCUCUCGCCAAAGGCCGGGACUUUGAGUUGCCUGCCAUGGUGGAGCUCGGGAUGUUGGCAGAUCUGACCGGACUGGUGAGCACUCUGCCCACACCUGCCGAGGUCGCCCUGCUCUGUGCCAUGCUCGUGCCAUUUGGAGUAACAGUCUACAAUGCCACAACACUUCGUUGGACCUAUUUUUGGCGUUUCUUCUGCCAGCUGAUGAGUCUUUCAGGGAUGCAAAUUGUCUGCCUUCGGAAAAUCAGAAGAAUGAAAGAAUGGGAUUUAUAGCAUAUAUGCUCUAUGUGCAGCUGAUGAAGCUUUGAGAGAUGAAAAUUGGUUGCCUUCGGAAAAUAAGAAGAAGGAAAGAACGGGUGUUUCAAUUGGUGGGGGAAUCGGAAGCAUCUCAGACAUUUUAAAUGCAUGACUGCUGAUUGCUGAAAAUGAAAUAUGCAGUUAUGGAUCCAUUCUAUAGUUGGAAUAUGAGACUCCAUAUAUGUGUGUAUGUUUAUUUUUGCUUGAAUCUGGUGCUGAAGGUGUGAACAGCAAUUUGCAACGUCGUGGCAAGGUUCAGUUCGGCAAGGAGACCAAUGAGGCAGCUACUUGUACAAUGUCCAAGCCGAUUGUACUCUGGCCUGUCAAACAAGAAGACUCGAUGCAACUAGCUACUGAAAAGGAGAUGAAUGUGGUCAUGUUGACAACCAAGACAAAGAAGCAGGAGACCAAGCCUUCUGCGUUCCCCAUUGGCAUGCACAAGGAGUUCCGCAAGAUGGACAAUGUUGUCCAGAAUUAGGUCACUAGCAGCUACUACAUGACCGACUUGACCAAGCCCACUCUUCCAAGACUAUCAAUUUACCGCAACCUCCAAGUUACGGCGACGCAUGGGCGGGGCAGCCACCCCCCAGACCCCGUUAGCACAAUGUCAUAAAAAUAUAUUUAUACUGAUUGUUGCGCAAAGUAGAAGGCUAUUGUUUGUAGUUAUUAGUUUAUUUCCUCUAUAUACAAUGACACGGUUUACUGUGUGUCCAAGAGGAAGGAAAAAUAGAUUUAUAGGUGUUAUGUGACUUACCUUUUAAAAGGAAUAACUUCAUGCUAUUGAGUCUUCACUAUUUGCUUCAC